rnacentral:rRNA from 1 species
CAUGAAGCCGGAAUUGCUAGUAAUGGCAGGUCAGCAUACUGCCGUGAAUACGUUCCCGGGCCUUGUACACACCGCCCGUCACACCAUGAGAGUUGGGAAUACCCGAAGCCUGUGAGCCAACAAACGAGGCAGCAGUCGAAGGUAGAAUCAAUGAUUGGGGUGAAGUCGUAACAAGGUAUC